GUUGAAACACUUGUUCCUAUACAAUCACCAAAGUUAAGCAGUAUUGAGCCUAGUCAGUAGCUAGAUGGGUGACUGCUUGGGAAUUCCAGGUGUUGUAAG